AUUGAACGCUGGCGGCAUGCCUUACACAUGCAAGUCGAACGGCAGCACGGGAGCAAUCCUGGUGGCGAGUGGCGAACGGGUGAGUAAUAUAUCGGAACGUGCCCAGUCGUGGGGGAUAACGUAGCGAAAGCUACGCUAAUACCGCAUACGAUCUAUGGAUGAAAGCGGGGGAUCGCAAGACCUCGCGCGAUUGGAGCGGCCGAUAUCAGAUUAGGUAGUUGGUGAGGUAAAGGCUCACCAAGCCGACGAUCUGUAGCUGGUCUGAGAGGACGACCAGCCACACUGGGACUGAGACACGGCCCAGACUCCUACGGGAGGCAGCAGUGGGGGAAUUUUUGGGACAAUGGGCGCAAGCCUGAUCCAGCAAUGCCGCGUGCAGGAUGAA
rnacentral:rRNA from 1 species